rnacentral:lncRNA from 1 species
AAUUUUUCAUAAUUUAAAAAUGCAUAAAAGUAUUUUAAAACCAAUUAAAACAAAGGAAAAUGGAUGAAAUUCAAGAAAAAUAUAAAAUCAAGAAAAUAAAAUAUGGAAAAAUAAAAAUCAGAUGAAGAAAAAUAAAAGAGAAUUUUAGAAAUUAUUUUAGGAUUUUUUGGAUGUUAAAUGAAUUUUCUAUGAAUUUUAAAAGAAAAUACAAUUUAAAAUAAAAAAAGAAAAAGAAAUAAAAUCAG